rnacentral:rRNA from 1 species
GAUGAACGCUGGCGGCGUGCCUAACACAUGCCAGUCGAACGGCCAGACAAGAAGUUUCUCCUCUUGACGAUAGCGGCAGACGUGUGUGUCACGCGUGGAUCCCCUACCUGUAUCUCUGGGAUGCCUUCGAAACACCGGCGAUAAUACCAUAUAAUAUAUUGCACCGUGUGUAUCAUUUGUGAAAUACGUUUUUGCUGUCUCUACUCGCUGGCUCCUCGCUUCAUUAGCUGGUUGGUAAGGUAACGGCCUACCAAGGCGACCAUGCGUGGCCGAACUGAGAGGGUGAUAGGCCACACUGGAACUGAGACACGGACCAGACUCCUACGGGAGGCAGCAGUAGGGAAUGGUAGGCAAUGGUCGAAAGCCUGACAGAGCAAGCCCGCGUGAGUGAUGGAGGCCUUCGGAUAGUAAAGCCCUGUUUUUGGGGAAGAACAACUGUCUAAGGAAAUAAGGACGUAGUGACGGUACCUAAAGAAAAAGCACCGGCUAACUACGUG